UGUAAAUAUAUUAUUUGUAUUGCAUUUAACAAUUUGUUUAGGUUUACCUAUAUGUUUUCCAGCUGUGUACUCUUUAUUGCAUCCUGAACCUCAGGCUGUGGAGCACAUCUUAGUCCACAUCACCAUGGAAAAAUCAAGUUUUUGGACACUAGACUUUCCAGCAGAAGAUGAGCAGCUCAAGGAAUUAUUUUCCCUCUGUCUAAAGCACAGCCCGGAGAGGCUGAGUUCAAGAGAAUCUCAUGACACAUGGAACUGUUCUUAAACGGAAAAGAAGACCGGUAUGACCUGACAAGUAACCCCAUCAUAAGGAAAACAUGGACAAGGUCCUCCUAAACAGAAUAUAAACUCUACACUCAGUUCC